CAGUCGCCACGGUAAUACGUAGGGUGCAAGCGUUAAUCGGAAUUACUGGGCGUAAAGCGUGCGCAGGCGGUUUUGCAAGUCAGAUGUGAAAUCCCCGGGCUCAACCUGGGAACUGCAUUUGAAACUACAAGGCUAGAGUGUGUCAGAGGGGGGUAGAAUUCCACGUGUAGCAGUGAAAUGCGUAGAGAUGUGGAGGAAUACCGAUGGCGAAGGCAGCCCCCUGGGAUAACACUGACGCUCAUGCACGAAAGCGUGGGGAGCAAACAGGAUUAGAUACCCCGGUAGUCCCUGUCUCUUAUAC
rnacentral:rRNA from 1 species